rnacentral:rRNA from 1 species
AGACUGCCGGUGACAAACCGGAGGAAGGUGGGGAUGACGUCAAGUCCUCAUGGCCCUUAUGGGUAGGGCUUCACACGUCAUACAAUGGUCGGUACAGAGGGCUGCCAACCCGCGAGGGGGAGCUAAUCCCACAAAGCCGAUCGUAGUCCGGAUCGCAGUCUGCAACUCGACUGCGUGAAGUCGGAAUCGCUAGUAAUCGUGGAUCAGCAUGUCACGGUGAAUACGUUCCCGGGUCUU